UACGUAGGGGGCAAGCGUUGUCCGGAUUUAUUGGGCGUAAAGAGCGUGUAGGCGGCCAGGUAGGUCCGUUGUGAAAACUCGAGGCUCAACCUCGAGACGUCGGCGGAAACCCUCUGGCUAGAGUCCGGAAGAGGAGAGUGGAAUUCCUGGUGUAGCGGUGAAAUGCGCAGAUAUCGGGAAGAACACCCGUGGCGAAGGCGGUUCUCUGGGACGGUACUGACGCUGAGACGCGAAAGCGUGGGGAGCGAACAGG
rnacentral:rRNA from 1 species